rnacentral:tRNA from 1 species
GAAGGUGUAGCUCAGUGGUGGAGUGCAGGCCUAGCAUGCAUCAGGUCCUGAGUUCAAUCCUCAGUCCUUCCA